rnacentral:rRNA from 1 species
CCUACGGGUGGCAGCAGUGAGGAAUCUUGGUCAAUGGACGAGAGUCUGAACCCGCCAAGUAGCGUGAAGGAUGACUGCCCUAUGGGUUGUAAACUGCUUUUAUUUGGGAAUAAAACAAGUUAUGCAUACCCUCUUUCCUGUACCGUAUGAAUACGUAUCGGCUAAUUCCGUGCCAGCAGCCGCGGUAAUACGGGAGGUCCGAGCGUUAUCCGGAUUUAUUGGGUUUACAGGGAGCCUAGGCGGCUCUUUAAGUCAGUUGUGAAAGUUUGCGGCUCAACCGUGGAACUGCAGUUGAAACUGGCGGUCUGGAGUGCAGCAGAGGUAGGCGGAAUUCGUGGUGUAGCGGUGAAAUGCUUAGAUAUCACGAAGAACUCCGAUUGCGAAGGCAGCUCACCGGAGUGUAACUGACGCUGAGGCUCGAAAGUGUGGGUAUCGAACAGGAUUAGAUACCCUGGUAGUC